rnacentral:lncRNA from 1 species
AGUGGUUUCCGCUUUUCCGUCUUCCUGAUUCUCUCUUUGCCAGCUGCCAUCCAAAUCAACCCUGAGGAUUGGGAAGGAACUAUACAUACCAGGAGGCAAGGAGCACUGGGGGCCCUCCUGGAACUGCCUGUCACAGCGUCCUCAAAGACUUAGUCCCAGCCUUUGAAAAACUGCUGGUACCAUCUGCAGAAACACUACCGGUUUUCACUCUCCUAGGAUGACCCAGGUAUAGAAUCUGCCCCUAUGGUUCGGCUCCACCCUCUCACCUGUCUCUUGAGAGCAUUGUGAAAUUCUGAGACACAGCAAGGACAGAAACAGAGGGCAUGGAAGAUGCUUUCAGGUGCAGCAGCCAUCUUUUGACAAGUCAUGAGGAUAAAAGCCAACACACUCACCAUGGCAAGCAAAGAAACAGAAAAACCCUGCACGUCCGAUGACAUAACUGAGCAGUGAGGCAUAGUUCAGAGAGAGAGACUCUGGAGGAUGAGAGACCAUGAAGGGCAACAGAGAAAGACCCAGCCAACCCAGAAAACCUCCUGUGGAGAAUAAGCCUUUGUUGGAGAGAAGAAACCAAUGCUAAGAUGCGCCUGCUUCAGUCGGAUAUAAUUUAUCGCUUAUCUUCAAGAAAAAGAAACUCAAGUAACAAAAAAGGUAAAGAAGUCUCAUUCUCGCACAAUCUUUAGAACCUUGAAGCUGAACCACAGGAUCAGUGAGGUUGCUUCUUAAUGCAGGCCCUGAUGUUACUAAACUUGAACCUACGUCUCUUCUCAGAAUCUUUCAUAUUCAGUUUUUCAGACAAAAUGUAGUGAAGGAUAUGAUGUUUCCUGUAUAAUUAAUGCUCAGUAAAUGCUGUUGACUAUGUAAAACAACCUGUUUAGCACUUCUGGGCUGCUAAGCCCCUCUAACCUCCGUACAACAAAAACUUGUUUCCUGUGAGUCCUACAGGGAGUCGAGAAAUGUGAAGGAAAAACAUAUUUUCCUUUUGUAGAAAUUCCCACAAUUUAAACUCUUCCAAUUAGCACCUAAUUGGCAGGAUGCAAUUUGAAAUCAUUGAAUUAAACUGCUUUAAAAAAA